rnacentral:rRNA from 1 species
UCCGUUGGUGAACCAGCGGAGGGAUCAUUACUGAGUUUACGCUCUAUAACCCUUUGUGAACAUACCUAUAACUGUUGCUUCGGCGGGUAGGGUCUCCGUGACCCUCCCGGCCUCCCGCCCCCGGGCGGGUCGGCGCCCGCCGGAGGAUAACCAAACUCUGAUUUAACGACGUUUCUUCUGAGUGGUACAAGCAAAUAAUCAAAACUUUUAACAACGGAUCUCUUGGUUCUGGCAUCGAUGAAGAACGCAGCGAAAUGCGAUAAGUAAUGUGAAUUGCAGAAUUCAGUGAAUCAUCGAAUCUUUGAACGCACAUUGCGCCCGCCAGCAUUCUGGCGGGCAUGCCUGUUCGAGCGUCAUUUCAACCCUCAAGCUCUGCUUGGUGUUGGGGCCCUACAGCUGAUGUAGGCCCUCAAAGGUAGUGGCGGACCCUCCCGGAGCCUCCUUUGCGUAGUAACUUUACGUCUCGCACUGGGAUCCGGAGGGACUCUUGCCGUAAAACCCCCAAUUUUUCAAAGGUUGACCUCGGAUCAGGUAGGAAUACCCGCUGAACUUA